UACGUAGGGACCAAGCGUUUGUCCGGAUUUAUUGGGCGUAAAGAGCUCGUAGGCGGCCCUCCACGUCGGAUGUGAAAGCUCAGGGCUCAACCCUGAGAUGCCAUUCGAUACGGGAAGGCUAGAGGUAGGUAGGGGAAAGUGGAAUUCCUGGUGUAGCGGUGAAAUGCGCAGAUAUCAGGAGGAACACCGGUGGCGAAGGCGGCUUUCUGGGCCUCUUCUGACGCUGAGGCGCGAAAGCCAGGGGAGCAAACGGGG
rnacentral:rRNA from 1 species